UGUGGGAUGAGCCCGCGGCCUAUCAGCUUGUUGGUGGGGUGACGGCCUACCAAGGCGACGACGGGUAGCCGGCCUGAGAGGGUGUCCGGCCACACUGGGACUGAGAUACGGCCCAGACUCCUACGGGAGGCAGCAGUGGGGAAUAUUGCACAAUGGGCGCAAGCCUGAUGCAGCGACGCCGCGUGGGGGAUGACGGCCUUCGGGUUGUAAACCUCUUUCACCAUCGACGAAGGUCCGGGUUCUCUCGGAUUGACGGUAGGUGGAGAAGAAGCACCGGCCAACUACGUGCCAGCAGCCGCGGUAAUACGUAGGGUGCGAGCGUUGUCCGGAAUUACUGGGCGUAAAGAGCUCGUAGGUGGUUUGUCGCGUUGUUCGUGAAAUCUCACGGCUUAACUGUGAGCGUGCGGGCGAUACGGGCACACUAGAGUACUGCAGGGGAGACUGGAAUUCCUGGUGUAGCGGUGGAAUGCGCAGAUAUCAGGAGGAACACCGGUGGCGAAGGCGGGUCUCUGGGCAGUAACUGACGCUGAGGAGCGAAAGCGUGGGGAGCGAACAGGAUUAGAUACCCUGGUAGUCCACGCCGUAAACGGUGGGUACUAGGUGUGGGUUUCCUUCCUUGGGAUCCGUGCCGUAGCUAACGCAUUAAGUACCCCGCCUGGGGAGUACGGCCGCAAGGCUAAAACUCAAAGGAAUUGACGGGGGCCCGCACAAGCGGCGGAGCAUGUGGAUUAAUUCGAUGCAACGCGAAGAACCUUACCUGGGUUUGACAUGCACAGGACGCGUCUAGAGAUAGGCGUUCCCUUGUGGCCUGUGUGCAGGUGGUGCAUGGCUGUCGUCAGCUCGUGUCGUGAGAUGUUGGGUUAAGUCCCGCAACGAGCGCAACCCUUGUCUCAUGUUGCCAGCACGUAAUGGUGGGGACUCGUGAGAGACUGCCGGGGUCAACUCGGAGGAAGGUGGGGAUGACGUCAAGUCAUCAUGCCCCUUAUGUCCAGGGCUUCACACAUGCUACAAUGGCCGGUACAAAGGGCUGCGAUGCCGCGAGGUUAAGCGAAUCCUUAAAAGCCGGUCUCAGUUCGG
rnacentral:rRNA from 1 species